rnacentral:sRNA from 1 species
UCCGAAAGUGAUUUUAAGAGGCGGGC